rnacentral:rRNA from 1 species
GACAGAGGUGCCAAGCGUUAGGCGGAAUCACUGGGCUUAAAGCGUGUGUAGACGGGCGAUCAAGUACCUUGUGAAAUCCCACGGCUCAACCGUGGAACUGCUGGGUAUACUGGUUGCUCUUGAGCCAGCUAGGGGCGAGCGGAACAGACGGUGGAGCGGUGAAAUGCGUAGAUAUCGUCUGGAACGCCGAAGGUGAAAACAGCUCGCUGGGGCUGCGCUGACGCUGAGACACGAAAGCCAGGGGAGCGAACGGG